rnacentral:rRNA from 1 species
UAACUUUCAGCAACGGAUCUCUUGGCUCUCGCAUCGAUGAAGAACACGGCGAAAUGUGAUAAGUAAUGUGAAUUGCAGAAUUCAGUGAAUCAUUGAAUCUUUGAACGCACCUUGCGCUCCUUGGUAUUCUGAGGAGCAUGCCUGUUUGAGUGUCAUGG